GCUUAUCACUUUUCCAGCCCAGCUAUCCAUCAUGUGUUUGUUGGACGGAGAACUGAUAAGGG
ensembl:miRNA gmo-mir-184-2 gmo-mir-184-2